rnacentral:rRNA from 1 species
CACCGCGGUUAUACGAGAGGCCCAAGUUGACAGACACCGGCGUAAAGAGUGGUUAAGUUAAAAUCUAUACUAAAGCCGAACAUCCUCAAGGCUGUUAUACGCACCCGAAGAUAAGAAGUUCAACCACGAAGGUGGCUUUAUUUGUCUGAACCCACGAAAGCUAUGGCACAAACUGGGAUUAGAUACCCCACUAUGCCUAGCCCUAAACAUUGAUAGUAUACUACGCCCACUAUCCGCCUGGGAACUACGAGCAUUAGCUUAAAACCCAAAGGACUUGGCGGUGCUUUAGAUCCACCUAGAGGAGCCUGUUCUAGAACCGAUAACCCCCGUUCAACCUCACCUUUCCUUGUUUUCCCCGCCUAUAUACCGCCGUCGUCAGCUUACCCUGUGAAGGUUUAAUAGUAAGCAAAACUGGUAAAACCCUAAACGUCAGGUCGAGGUGUAGCGUAUGGGAAGGGAAGAAAUGGGCUACAUUCGCUACCACAGCGAAUACGGACGAUGAACUGAAACGUUCAUCUGAAGGAGGAUUUAGCAGUAAGCAGAAAAUAGAGUGUUCCGCUGAAAUUGGCCCUGAAGCGCGC